rnacentral:tRNA from 1 species
GGGGUUGUAGCUGAGCUGUACAGCGUUCGCCUAGCAUGUGCGAGGCGCUGUGUUCGAUCCUCAGCACCACA